GCUCAUUUUAUAGGGAAAAGAUUUUCGAUACCCAAAUCCUCUUUCUUCCUUCUAGACCUUUAUGUUCAUCAUUUUUUUCUUUUCUUCACACUCCAAUCUCAGAAUUUUCUCUUCACCUAAUUUUGAUUGUCUUCACACUCCAGUUUGCUAAAAUCUUUAGAUAAUCACACUUCAUACUCAGAAUUAUGUAUAACAUGAAAAGGUUGGUGUUUGGUGACAGUUGAUCUUUGGUCUGAGAUAAUUAGAUCAGAGGAAGAAGACGGAGAUGGGUUCAGGGAAGUACCUCAGGUCGAGGUUUAUCAGAGAAGGAAGAAGCUUGAGAAGCUUUCCGCAGCCGAAAAUUUAGUGUGGUCGGUGAAAGGGGCUCGAACUAGUUUUAUCAAUGGACCCAAGAGAGAUAGCUGGACUCGUUCCCUUUCCACCAGAGGGAGGGGAGUAUAGCAGUGGGAGCUUAUGUCAACAAUCAGCCUCAGAAGAAGCCUGUUAGGAGAAAGAAGCCUGUAAUGUCGUUCCUUCAGUCGGUGGAGUCUGGUGUUAUUUGAGCUUGUAAGUGUCAAAUGGUGAGCACUCACUUUAUCUUAGCUCCUUGCCUGCGAUCCAUUUGAUUAUUAGGUCUUUCCUUUCCCAUCCAAUGAUGCCCGGUCUAAUUCCAGAGAAGAAUACCUGCAAACACACAUAUCCAGUUCAUAUUUGCAAAAGUUUGGUCUUAAUGGUUCCGAUUCGAAACUGAAACGAAAGAUUUUAAAGUCGACUUCUUCUGCAUUUAUAGGAAUUUAAAAUAUUUCAAUUGUUGUAUUUCUAACUUUUGACUUUCAAAUUAAGUUCGAAGUUAAUAUAUAAAUUCUGAUUCCAAAACUAAUAUUAUAAUAAAUUUUUAUUUCUAAAUUAA